rnacentral:rRNA from 1 species
UUACCCACCUUUGACAUGUACGGAAUUUGCCAGAGAUGGCUUAGUGCUCGAAAGAGAGCCGUAACACAGGUGCUGCAUGGCUGUCGUCAGCUCGUGUCGUGAGAUGUUGGGUUAAGUCCCGCAACGAGCGCAACCCUUGUCAUUAGUUGCUACGAAAGGGCACUCUAAUGAGACUGCCGGUGACAAACCGGAGGAAGGUGGGGAUGACGUCAAGUCCUCAUGGCCCUUAUAGGUGGGGCUACACACGUCAUACAAUGGCUGGUACAGAGGGUUGCCAACCCGCGAGGGGGAGCUAAUCCCAUAAAACCAGUCGUAGUCCGGAUCGCAGUCUGCAACUCGACUGCGUGAAGUCGGAAUCGCUAGUAAUCGCGGAUCAGAAUGUCGCGGUGAAUACGUCCCCGGGUCUUGUACACACCGCCCGUCACACCAUGGGAGCGGGUUCUGCCAGAAGUAGUUAGCCUAACCGCAAGGAGGGCGAUUACCACGGCAGGGUUCGUGACUGGGGUGAAGUCGUAACAAGGUAGCC